rnacentral:rRNA from 1 species
GAUGAACGCUGGCGGCGUGCCUAAUACAUGCAAGUCGAGCGAACAGACGAGGAGCUUGCUCCUCUGACGUUAGCGGCGGACGGGUGAGUAACACGUGGAUAACCUACCUAUAAGACUGGGAUAACUACGGGAAACCGGAGCUAAUACCGGAUAAUAUAUUGAACCGCAUGGUUCAAUAGUGAAAGACGGUUUUGCUGUCACUUAUAGAUGGAUCCGCGCCGCAUUAGCUAGUUGGUAAGGUAACGGCUUACCAAGGCAACGAUGCGUAGCCGACCUGAGAGGGUGAUCGGCCACACUGGAACUGAGACACGGUCCAGACUCCUAUGGGAGGCAGCAGUAGGGAAUCUUCCGCAAUGGGCGAAAGCCUGACGGAGCAACGCCGCGUGAGUGAUGAAGGUCUUCGGAUCGUAAAACUCUGUUAUUAGGGAAGAACAAAUGUGUAAGUAACUAUGCACGUCUUGACGGUACCUAAUCAGAAAGCCACGGCUAACUACGUG